CUUGAAAAAGUAGUUAAAAUUCAACAGUUAAUAUAUACAGAUACUUAUAUCGUCGACAAUAUGAUUAUAGGUUCCAAAUUUGAGAUGAUUUUGCAUGACUGUUAAUUCCUUUGAAGACAAAACUGUGUCAACUAGCAGUGACGCACUUUUAGCACAUAUUGGAAUAUCCACUGUCUGCUGAAAUGAUGAUGUCAUUCUUGGUAAAAACAAAUCUGGAAUCGUUACAGUUUUUCACAAUGAUAUAUUUUCUAGGGCAUACAACAUGAUAUGUGUACCAAAGAACUAUUAUAAAUAAAAGUCUGCUUAAUGAGACGAUGUACUUAAUACUUCAAUAAAGUAACGUGGACAGUAAUGUGUAGCGUAAGAAAAUCAACGCAUUUAUUACUCCUUUGUUUUUAUUAAAAUUGUAAAAUGUGUGAUGAACUUUAGAUCGGUAAAUUUUUCAAUAAUUCACACCUGAUGACACCGCCUAUGGUUAUAUUGCAUCACACAAUUUAUGUGGUAAUGUUUUGUGACGGUUAAAAGGGAGACGAAAGAUACCAAGGAACAUUCAAACUCAUAUGUCAUAAAGCUUAGCCUGUAAUGAAGUGGUUGUUGAUAGUUGCUGUAUAUCAUAUUUGCUUCAUUUUUAGCUUUUGUAAUUUUUUGUGAAAAUAAUUCCAUCGUGUUUGCAAUGAUUUAGCAUAACUCUUAAAGACAUGAAUUAAGUAUUUGAUGUAUAGAUUGUGUGAUUUUAGAUUAAAAACGUAUUAUUGACGGA